rnacentral:lncRNA from 1 species
UGAGAAGCUAAGUGUGUGUGCAUCUCAAAUUGUCGGCUUGUUUGUGUGUAUGUGUAUUCCAGAAUGUGUCAAAAAAAAAAAGAAAUAUCGAUUUGUUUUAUUUUACAUACUUUUGGAUUUCAUUUUCCAUCUUGGCAUUUCAUUUGCUAGGUCAGGGGAGGGGGCCUCUCACCCCAACUGUGCCCAAACUAGGAGAAGACACUGAGGGAGCUUUUCCUACUCACUCUUUCUUUCAAAUAGAAUCUACGGCUUCAAACUUGGUCGUCCCUAUUCUUCUCCUGAUUGGCUGGAUUGUGGGCUGUGUCGUAAUGAUUUAUGUGAUCUUCUCUUGAUAGAAGAAAGAAGAUUUCAGACUGACAUCUUUUAGAAGACCCAAGAAGAGAAAUGAAAAUGACUAAUCAUUAAAAAUAUUGCAUCGAUAAGCAUGAUAUUUGCCAUCACUUUCAAAGUUUGAGCAUGCAAAGCUACCACCUUAAAGACUGUUUCUUCCUUAAGUAUUUAGGCUGACUUUAGGACCAGGUGCCUUAUCAAUAAGUGGCCUGGUGGGGUGGUCUGAACAACUGACAUCUCAUUGAUGUGAUUAACCGAGACAGAGAAUAUGGCACAUUUUUCUACUAACACCUUUUCUACAAAAAAUAUUGAUAUGAAAACAAUUUAAAAUAGAAAGAGGGUUAACCUAUAAUGUAUGGAGCUCCUUAGGGGAAGAAAAUCCUACAACCCAAUCCCAC